rnacentral:rRNA from 1 species
UACGUAGGGUCCGAGCGUUGUCCGGAAUUAUUGGGCGUAAAGAGCUCGUAGGCGGUCUGUCGCGUCUGCUGUGAAAACUCGGGGCUUAACCCCGGGCCUGCAGUGGGUACGGGCAGACUAGAGUGCGGUAGGGGAGACUGGAAUUCCUGGUGUAGCGGUGAAAUGCGCAGAUAUCAGGAGGAACACCGGUGGCGAAGGCGAGUCCCUGGACACUUCCUGACGCUGAGGCGCGAAAGCGUGGGGAGCAAACAGG